rnacentral:rRNA from 1 species
CCUACGGGUGGCAGCAGUGAGGAAUAUUGGUCAAUGGCCGGAAGGCUGAACCAGCCAUGCCGCGUGAAGGUCAGUGCCCUAUGGGCGUUAAACUUCUUUUGUGCGGGAGCAAUAAUGGUCACGUGUGGCCAGACGAGAGUACCGUACGAAUAAGCAUCGGCUAACUCCGGGCCGGCAGCCGCGGUAAUACGGGGGAUGCAGGCGUUAUCCGGUUUUAUUGGGUUUAAGGGGGCGUAGGCGGGGAGGUAAGGUAGCGGUGAAAUGCCCCCGCUCCACGGGGUGAAGUGCCAUUGAUACUGGCGUGCUGGAAUGCGGAUGCGGUGGGAGGAAUGUGUGGUGUAGCGGUGAAAUGCAUAGAUAUCACACAGAACACCGAUUGCGAAGGCAUCUCACGAAUCCGCGAUUGACGCUGAUGCACGAAAGCGUGGGUAUCAAACAGGAUUAGAUACCCGUGUAGUC